AAGAGGAGUGGCGAACGGGUGAGUAACACGUGGGUAACCUGCCCAUCAGAAGGGGAUAACACUUGGAAACAGGUGCUAAUACCGUAUAACAAUCAAAACCGCAUGGUUUUGAUUUGAAAGGCGCUUUCGGGUGUCGCUGAUGGAUGGACCCGCGGUGCAUUAGCUAGUUGGUGAGGUAACGGCUCACCAAGGCCACGAUGCAUAGCCGACCUGAGAGGGUGAUCGGCCACAUUGGGACUGAGACACGGCCCAAACUCCUACGGGAGGCAGCAGUAGGGAAUCUUCGGCAAUGGACGAAAGUCUGACCGAGCAACGCCGCGUGAGUGAAGAAGGUUUUCGGAUCGUAAAACUCUGUUGUUAGAGAAGAACAAGGAUGAGAGUAACUGUUCAUCCCUUGACGGUAUCUAACCAGAAAGCCACGGCUAACUACGUGCCAGCAGCCGCGGUAAUACGUAGGUGGCAAGCGUUGUCCGGAUUUAUUGGGCGUAAAGCGAGCGCAGGCGGUUUCUUAAGUCUGAUGUGAAAGCCCCCGGCUCAACCGGGGAGGGUCAUUGGAAACUGGGAGACUUGAGUGCAGAAGAGGAGAGUGGAAUUCCAUGUGUAGCGGUGAAAUGCGUAGAUAUAUGGAGGAACACCAGUGGCGAAGGCGGCUCUCUGGUCUGUAACUGACGCUGAGGCUCGAAAGCGUGGGGAGCAAACAGGAUUAGAUACCCUGGUAGUCCACGCCGUAAACGAUGAGUGCUAAGUGUUGGAGGGUUUCCGCCCUUCAGUGCUGCAGCUAACGCAUUAAGCACUCCGCCUGGGGAGUACGACCGCAAGGUUGAAACUCAAAGGAAUUGACGGGGGCCCGCACAAGCGGUGGAGCAUGUGGUUUAAUUCGAAGCAACGCGAAGAACCUUACCAGGUCUUGACAUCCUUUGACCACUCUAGAGAUAGAGCUUCC
rnacentral:rRNA from 1 species